AGGUGUGGAUAGGGGAGAAAUUCCAAUCGAACCCGGAGAUAGCUGGUUCUCCUCGAAAUAGCUUUAGGGCUAGCCUCAUGAGAGUCUUUUGGAGGUAGAGCACUGAAUUCCCGCGGGGGCGUCAAAGCUUACCAAAGGAUAUCAAACUCCGAAUGCCAGUAAGAUGAUUCAUGGGAGUCAGACUACACGAGAUAAGUUGGGUAGUCAAAAGGGAAAGAGCCCAGACCUGCAGCUAAGGUCCCAAAAUGUGUGUUAAGUGGAAAAGGAUGUGGGAUUUCAAAGACAACCAGGAUGUUGGCUUAGAAGCAGCCAUACAUUAAAAGAGUGCGUAAUAGCUCACUGGUCGAGAGGUCCUGCGCCGAAAAUGUCCGGGGCUGAAACACACUACCGAAGCUCAGGAAUUAACGUAGUUAAUUGGUAGAGGAGCAUUCUUAAAGGGAAGAAGCAGUACCGGAAGGAGCUGUGGACUUUUAAGAAGAGAGAAUGCCGGAAUGAGUAGCGAGAGGAAGGUGAGAAUCCUUCCGGCCGAAUACCCAAGGUUUCCAGAGUAAAGCUGAUCUGCUCUGGGUAAGUCGGGGCCUAAGGUGAGGUCGAAAGACGUAGCCGAUGGACAACAGGUUGAAAUUCCUGUACUGCAGUAUAACAGAACUGUGGGGACGCAGAGGGAGAGCACUAGCGGGAAUGGAAUCCCGUGGCAAGCGAGGUAGGAGUCGCGUUGGCAAAUCCGCGUGACAAUCCGAAGACGUGAUGCAUACCGAACUAGAGUAGGGAAAUGUGUGAGCCAGCUGCCAAGAAAAGCCGCUAUUGUUUGUACUGUACCCGUACCGUAAACCGACACAGGUAGGUGAGGAGAGAAUCCUAAGGCCGACGGGAGAAGCAUUGUUAAGGAACUCGGCAAAAUGACUCCGUAACUUCGGGAGAAGGAGUGCCAGUGAGAGCUGGCCGCAGAGAAUUGGCCCAAGCAACUGUUUAGCAAAAACACAGGUCUAUGCAAAACCGUAAGGUGAAGUAUAUGGGCUGACGCCUGCCCGGUGCUGGAAGGUUAAGGGGAGAGGUUAGCGCAAGCGAAGCUUUGAACUUAAGCCCCAGUAAACGGCGGCCGUAACUAUAACGGUCCUAAGGUAGCGAAAUUCCUUGUCGGGUAAGUUCCGACCC
rnacentral:rRNA from 1 species